rnacentral:rRNA from 1 species
UACGUAGGGACCAAGCGUUGUCCGGAAUCAUUGGGCGUAAAGAGCGUGUAGGCGGCUUGUUAAGUCUUGCGUGAAAUCUCGGGGCUCAACCCCGAGCGGUCGUGAGAAACUGGCAGGCUAGAGUGCGGGAGAGGAGAGUGGAAUUCCUGGUGUAGCGGUGAAAUGCGCAGAUAUCGGGAAGAACACCCGUGGCGAAGGCGGCACUCUGGGACGGUACUGACGCUGAGACGCGAAAGCGUGGGGAGCGAACAGG